rnacentral:rRNA from 1 species
CCAGACUCCUACGGGAGGCAGCAGUGGGGAAUAUUGCACAAUGGGGGGAACCCUGAUGCAGCGACGCCGCGUGAGUGAAGAAGUAUUUCGGUAUGUAAAGCUCUGUCAGCAGGGAAGAAGAAAGACGGUACCUGACCAAGAAGCCCCGGCUAACUACGUGCCAGCAGCCGCGGUAAUACGUAGGGGGCAAGCGUUAUCCGGAUUUACUGGGUGUAAAGGGAGCGUAGACGGCAGGGCAAGUCUGGAGUGAAAGGCGGGGGCUCAACCCCCGGACUGCUCUGGAAACUGUACGGCUGGAGUGCAGGAGAGGUAAGUGGAAUUCCUAGUGCAGCGGUGAAAUGCGUAGAUAUUAGGAGGAACGCCAGUGGCGAAGGCGGCUUACUGGACUGUAACUGACGUUGAGGCUCGAAAGCGUGGGGAGCAAACAGGAUUAGAUACCCGUGUAA